CAGUGGCCGCGUGGGACGUGAUUGGUGUUUUGAGAUCCCCAGAGAGACCACAGAGCCCGUGGAGAUGUGUGUCGUGAGAAACUGGACUACCCUACAUGAAGAUUGUGUUGCCAUGGAACGAACAGCAGCAGUCUCUAGGGAAGAGCUCCGUACAGUGGCAUCCCUGGACACGUGAAGAGCUCCCGGACCCGUAAGGCACGGGGUCCUUCGAGUGCUAUCCACCAGUGGCCGCGUGGGACGUGGUUGGUGUUUUGAGAUCCCCGGAGAGAACGCGGAGCCCGUGGACACGUGUGUCGUGGGAAACUGGACUACCCUACAUGAAGAUUGUGUUGCCAUGG